CGGCUGCUCUGCUUUUGCUCCCUGAUUAGGAGGAGGAGGUGGAUGUGGAGGAGGAGGUUGAGGAGGCGGAGACCGUGGCGGCAACAACGCAUUCGGAUGUCUGCCCUAUCAACUUUCGAUGUUACUAUCUGCACCUACCAUGGUAUCCACGGGUAACGGGGAAUCAGGGUUCGAUUCCGGAGAGGGAGCCUGAGAAACGGCUACCACAUCCAAGGAAGGCAGCAGGCAUGCAAAUUACCCACUCCCGAUGCGGGGAGGUAGUGA